AGCGAACGCUGGCGGCAGGCCUAACACAUGCAAGUCGAGCGCUCGUAGCAAUACGAGAGCGGCAGACGGGAGAGUAACACGUGGGAACGUACCCUUUGGUUCGGAACAACCCAGGGAAACUUGGGCUAAUACCGGAUAAGCCCUUACGGGGAAAGAUUUAUCGCCGAAGGAUCGGCCCGCGUCUGAUUAGCUAGUUGGUGGGGUAACGGCCCACCAAGGCGACGAUCAGUAGCUGGUCUGAGAGGANGAUCAGCCUCACUGGGACUGAGACACGGCCCAGACUCCUACGGGAGGCAGCAGUGGGGAAUAUUGGACAAUGGGCGCAAGCCUGAUCCAGCCAUGCCGCGUGGGUGAUGAAGGCCCUAGGGUUGUAAAGCCCUUUCGGCGGGAAGAUAAUGACGGUACCCGCAGAAGAAG
rnacentral:rRNA from 1 species